CUUUUUCCGAGUGAAGAAAUUAAGCCUGAACAAUUACCUCAUAUCAAAUCAAUCAGUAAUAGAAUAAUCAAAAACUGGGCUCACUCUGUGCUGUGUAAGAAAUAGCCAUAGAACUGUCCAGAGUUCGAGCAGCUUUGGGAUGGGUACUUUUGUGGAUACAACGGUGUAUUAAAGUGAUUAUGAGUGUUUCCUUUAAUUUUGUUUGCAAAACAGCCUCCUCUUAGACUCACAAUUAAUUGAAGUUUUGCUAUGAUAAAGAGCUUGGAUGUCAAACUGAUGACAGUAUUUCAGUUAAUGUGGACCUUUUAUAAUGGAGGCAUUUGGAAACUGUGGGAGAUGACAUCACAGAAUUGAUUUCCAGCCCCUCCGACAGCACGGAGCUGUCUCCCCACUCCAGGACUCCCGCCUGUCCUUCCCUCAGUCCCCUAGGACAGCUCUUCAGAGACUUCUGUCCUCUGGACCGAGCCGAGGAAACAGGCACCAGAGACCAGACCAGAGCUGGGAAAGCCGGACGCGGCUGGCUCCCAGGAUUCACGGGAAUGUCGGAUCUUUCACCUCUGCUGUCCUCUCUCCCUUCUUCUUCAAGCACUGAGGUAAAUUAAAUCCUGUGUUCUUGCUUCUCCAGUUCAACAGGCUCCCACAA
rnacentral:lncRNA from 1 species